ACGGUGAUGAUGAUAAUAUCUGUGUAGACUGCACACUAUGUUGUAAUUAUCUUUGUAGACCACACGCUACAGUAGCACCGAUUUUACUUUCAACGAGACAGUGAUGGUCACUUUUGAAAAAACCCUCACAUCUGUGAUCACAUUAAAGCUUUUGUUCAUAGAUAUUUAUAAAUAGCUAUAUUUCUAACAUAACUUAGCUCCUAGUGUUAGAUUACACAGACUAUAAGGUAAGAUGUGAAGCAAAGCUCCUAGUGUUAGAUUACACAGACUAUAAGGUAAGAUGUGAAGCAAAGGUCCUAGUGUUAGAUCAUCCAGACUAUGAUAAGGUAAAAUGUGAAGCAAAGCUCCUAGUGUUAGAUUACACAGACUGUAAGGUAAGAUGUGAAGCAAAGCUCCUAGUGUUAGAUUACACAGUCUGUAAGGUAAGGUGUGAAGCAAAGCUCCUAGUGUUAGAUUAUCCAGACUAUGAUAAGGUAAGAUGUAAAGCAAAGCUCCUAGUGUUAGAUUAUCCAGACUAUGAUAAGGUAAAAUGUGAAGCAAAGCUCCUAGUGUUAGAUCAUCCAGACUAUGAUAAGGUAAAAUGUGAAGCAAAGGUCCUAGUGUUAGAUCAUCCAGACUAUGAUAAGGUAAAAUGUGAAGCAAAGCUCCUAGUGUUAGAUCAUCCAGACUAUGAUAAGGUAAGAUGUGAAGCAAAGCUCCUAGUGUUAGAUUAUCC